UUUUAUUAUUCUUCUCGUCGUUUAUUUGAAUCAAAAAAUCAAAAAAAAUCAAAAAAAAUGUUAUUACAAAGUGUUGUAUCCUGUUGCUUUCU
rnacentral:ribozyme from 13 species